rnacentral:rRNA from 1 species
UACGUAGGGUGCGAGCGUUAAUCGGAAUUACUGGGCGUAAAGCGUGCGCAGGCGGUCUGUUAAGACCGAUGUGAAAUCCCCAGGCUUAACCUGGGAACUGCAUUGGUGACUGGCAGGCUUUGAGUGUGGCAGAGGGAGGUAGAAUUCCACGUGUAGCAGUGAAAUGCGUAGAGAUGUGGAGGAACACCAAUGGCGAAGGCAGAUCUCUGGGCCGUAACUGACACUGAGAGACGAAAGCUAGGGGAGCGAAUGGG